rnacentral:lncRNA from 11 species
AAAUUAAAUGCACACAGGUCAGCGCAGUUGAUGUCAAGAUAGAUUUUUUUAAAAGAACAUCAAAUUUGAUGUCUUUAAAAAUUUAUGAAAAUAAAUUAAGUGAACAUUCUAUUUAGGUAACAAAUUGCUUCAUGUAUAGGGGUAUAUAUAUAUAUAUAUAUAUAUAUAUAUAUAUAUAUAUGCAUAUAUAGACACACACACACACACUUCGACAAUUACUUUUUUGGAAACAAGUCAUAAUAAUUGUAUUUCCAUGUGUACUUUAUCAUUUAUUCUGACUACAAUAGAUGGCACAUAUCCCUUUAAAAAUCUAAUAAUUAUAUAUCUUACAAUUUUUUAGAUUGUGUCAUGAGAAAUCAACAGAAUCCUGGACUACUUGGACUAAUUUAAAUGCAAGGUCACCCGAAAAGAGAACUUAAGAAGGGGAAUUUUUUGGUGGUGCCUGUAGUCUGCCUGAAGCAGCAGGCAAAUUAUCUAUUCCUAAGGGCUAGAGGGAAGAUUUCUAGCAUUACAACCUUCAAAAGUUGCAAGGUGACUGAAACGCAGGUGGCCACGGAAGCAACCAACAUGGUAAUUCAAGAUGAUGCUAAAGACCCUCCAGCAGAGGAAUAUUUAUCUCCAGGAACAUGUCUGUGAGGACAAGAAUUAAUCGUGAUGGCCAGCGCAGCAAAAACAUUACAAGAACAUUAUGGAGCACACCUCCCAGGAAGCAAGAUUAACUAAAGAAUAGCAGAACAACCACCAUAAAGAGAUAAUGGAAAGAUCAAAUAGGGAUCAUGAUCUGAUAUCACAGCUAUGUAGCAAUCUUGAAAAUCUUGAAAAUGAGCGGAGGGAGGCAGUGGUAAGAAAAUGUAUUUUUGCUUUCAAGUCCUUUAUGGAAAUAUCUAAUAGAGUCUAUCAAAGUAAUUCCAAAGAUGGAAGCAGUAUUGAAACUCAGUUCCAUCAGAUGUCAGUAGAAGAAACUAUUUUCCAGAAUUGAAGGUAUUCAGGCAAAUUAUGGAUUAGCAGAUAUUACUGGAAUACCUGUUACCUCCACAAGCAGUUCCUAUGCCAUAGAGGUAAAGGUUUCCCCUGACGUUAAUUCCAGUCAUGUCUGACUCUGGGGGUUGGUGCUCAUCUCCAUUUC